rnacentral:rRNA from 1 species
UACGGGGGGAGCAAGCGUUGUUCGGAUUUACUGGGCGUAAAGGGCGCGUAGGCGUCACCGCAAGUCGACUGUGAAAUCUCCGGGCUUAACCCGGAAAGGUCAGCCGAUACUGCGGGGCUAGAGUGCAGAAGGGGCAACUGGAAUUCUCGGUGUAGCGGUGAAAUGCGUAGAUAUCGGGAGGAACACCAGUGGCGAAGGCGACUACCUGGCCUGUUCUUGACGCUGAGGCGCGAGAGCUAGGGGAGCAAACGGG